GAUUCCACCAGAUGGAUUAUCUCAUCCGGUACAGUGUGUGACCGACCCUGCUCCUGUGAACAGAGUUGUGGUGUAUGGAGACCAAACUUAUACCGCAACUUCUAAGAGAUACCUCAGCAUCAGGAGAAUCUGGUAUUUCCGAACAAUAGACAUUUGUCAACCGAUGGGAGAUGGAGCACGCAUCCGCCACCCGCCACCAGGCAGAGACAACAUAAUCCAAGGCUGAAGAUGAUGACACUUGCCAUUGGGAUUCUCCUGCUACUUAUUUCAUUUAUUUAUAUCUCUUUUCCUCA